UAUGUGAUCGUCUCUCGCAUAUCAAUAAGCGGAGGAAAAGAAACUAACAAGGAUUCCCCUAGUAACGGCGAGUGAAGCGGGAAGAGCUCAAAUUUGAAAUCUUAAAGGGUUUCCCUUUACGAAUUGUAGUCUAAAGAAGUGUUUUCUGUUGAGGUUUUGGUAAAAGUUCUUUGGAAUAGGACAUCAUAGAGGGUGAGAAUCCCGUAUUUGACCUUUACUUUCAACUUUGUGAUACACUUUCAAAGAGUCGGAUUGUUUGGGAAUGCAGUCCAAAAUGGGUGGUAAAUUUCAUCUAAAGCUAAAUAUUGGCGAGAGACCGAUAGCGAACAAGUACCGUGAGGGAAAGAUGAAAAGAACUUUGAAAAGAGAGUUAAACAGUACGUGAAAUUGUCAAAAGGGAAGCAUUUGACACCAGUGUUGUUUUUCUGAAAAUCAAUUAAAGAACUGUUUAUGCUAAGUUGUUUAGACUUUAUCAGCUAACUGUUUAGUUUUGAGCUUUUCUUUAAUGCACUUUUCAGUUAACAAGUCAACAUCAAUUUCUUUUGCUGUAAAAAAGCUUGAGGAAGGUGGCUUGAGAUUCGUCUUAAGUGUUUAUAGCCUCUUGCCUAUGCAGUCGGAGAGAUUGAGGUCUGCAGCGUAGAUCCUUCGGGGCUAAAUGCAUUUGUGCUAAGUUAUAGCAUUUUAUAGACAACUUGUUGACUAUGAUUUGUCUUGUAGCUUACUCGCUUAUGUUAUUUUACCUACGCUUAGGAUGUUGAGUCAUCACACAUCUCU
rnacentral:rRNA from 1 species